rnacentral:siRNA from 1 species
AACCCUACGUUAGUCCAUCUG